AUUGAACGCUGGCGGCAGGCUUAACACAUGCAAGUCGAGCGGAGAUGAGGUGCUUGCACCUUAUCUUAGCGGCGGACGGGUGAGUAAUGCUUAGGAAUCUGCCUAUUAGUGGGGGACAACAUUCCGAAAGGAAUGCUAAUACCGCAUACGUCCUACGGGAGAAAGCAGGGGAUCUUCGGGCCUUGCGCUAAUAGAUGAGCCUAAGUCGGAUUAGCUAGUUGGUGGGGUAAAGGCCUACCAAGGCGACGAUCUGUAGCGGGUCUGAGAGGAUGAUCCGCCACACUGGGACUGAGACACGGCCCAGACUCCUACGGGAGGCAGCAGUGGGGAAUAUUGGGCAAUGGGGGGAACCCUGAUCCAGCCAUGCCGCGUGUGUGAAGAAGGCCUUAUGGUUGUAAAGCACUUUAAGCGAGGAGGAGGCUACUGAGACUAAUACUCUUGGAUAGUGGACGUUACUCGCAGAAUAAGCACCGGCUAACUCUGUGCCAGCAGCCGCCGUAA
rnacentral:rRNA from 1 species